UUUACCCGAUAUCCGAAGUGGCACCCGAACCCGAUUCGAAAAUGCAUGUCAAGUUUUUUAUUUAAAAAAUUAACAAAAAGUUACAUCCAAAUUUUUUUUAAAAAUAACUAAAUUAAUGCCUUUUUAGUUUUAAAUUUUUAUGUCCAAAUCUAUUAAUCAUUCAAUCUAUUAAAAAUAAAAAAAUUAGUUAACAGAAAGUUAUAUUUUUAAAUAUAAGAAACUUGAGAAAUGAAAAUUUUAAUUUUUUUUUUCAAAAUCUAAAUAUCCAAACCCGAUCUGAAAUAACCGUAUCCGA
rnacentral:lncRNA from 1 species